AGUGAACGCUGGCGGUAGGCCUAACACAUGCAAGUCGAACGGCAGCACAGUAAGAGCUUGCCCUUACGGGUGGCGAGUGGCGGACGGGUGAGGAAUACAUCGGAAUCUACUUUUUCGUGGGGGAUAACGUAGGGAAACUUACGCUAAUACCGCAUACGAUCUACGGGAGAAAGCAGGGGAUCUUCGGACCUUGCGCGAUUGAAUGAGCCGAUGUCGGAUUAGCUAGUUGGCGGGGUAAAGGCCCACCAAGGCGACGAUCCGUAGCAGGUCUGAGAGGAUGAUCAGCCACACUGGAACUGAGACACGGUCCAGACUCCUACGGGAGGCAGCAGUGGGGAAUAUUGGACAAUGGGCGCAAGCCUGAUCCAGCCAUACCGCGUGAGUGAAGAAGGCCUUCGGGUUGUAAAGCCCUUUUGUUGGGAAAGAAAAGCAGCAGGUUAAUACCCCGCUGUUCUGACGGUACCCAAAGAAUAAGCACCGGCUAACUUCGUG
rnacentral:rRNA from 1 species